rnacentral:rRNA from 1 species
UACGAAGGGGCUAGCGUUGCUCGGAAUCACUGGGCGUAAAGGGUGCGUAGGCGGGUCUUUAAGUCAGGGUGAAAUCCUGGAGCUCAACUCCAGAACUGCCUUUGAUACUGGCGAUCUUGAGUUCGGAGAGGUGAGUGGAACUGCGAGUGUAGAGGUGAAAUUCGUAGAUAUUCGCAAGAACACCAGUGGCGAAGGCGGCUCACUGGCCCGAUACUGACGCUG